GACGAACGCUGGCGGCGUGCUUAACACAUGCAAGUCGAACGGAAAGGCCCUGCUUUUGUGGGGUGCUCGAGUGGCGAACGGGUGAGUAACACGUGAGUAACCUGCCCUUGACUUUGGGAUAACUUCAGGAAACUGGGGCUAAUACCGGAUAGGAGCUCCUGCUGCAUGGUGGGGGUUGGAAAGUUUCGGCGGUUGGGGAUGGACUCGCGGCUUAUCAGCUUGUUGGUGGGGUAGUGGCUUACCAAGGUUUUGACGGGUAGCCGACCUGGGAGGGUGACCAGCCACAUUGGGACUGAGGUACGGCCCAGACUCCUACGGGAGGCAGCAGUGGGGAAUAUUGCACAAUGGGCGGAAGCCUGAUGCAGCAACGCCGCGUGCGGGAUGACGGCCUUCGGGUUGUAAACCGCUUUCGCCUGUGACGAAGCGUGAGUGACGGUAAUGGGUAAAGAAGCACCGGCUAACUACGUG
rnacentral:rRNA from 1 species